UUUUCUUCCCUUUAGCAGUCUUAGAUUCUAGGAAAUACUUCUUUAGGAACUUUUCCACAACUUCUUCCCAGGUUUUAAGACUGUUACAUUUGAAUGAGUGAAGCCACCUCUUGGCCUCUCCUGCCAGUGAAAAUGAGAAAAGGCUGAGUCUGAUAGUUUCAUCUGGUACACCAGCAAUCUUAACAAUGUUGCAAAUCUCAAUAAAUGUUGCCAAGUGUGCAUAGGGAUCUUCAUUAGGUAAUCCUUGAAAUAAAUUCCCUUGUAUCAGAUGGAUCAAAGAAUGUGGGUAGGUGAUGUUGUGCGCUUGCACUUCAAGACGUGCAAUGCUAGUGAAAAAUUAUGGUACCAAAUUACUUGAAUAGUCCUCAAGGGUAGUUCUUUGGUCGUGCUCAUCUUCCAUGGUAGCAGUUUUAGACAAUUGAUUAGUGGAUUCCCUUGACGAUGGUGAAUCAGAUGAUGAUGAAUCAGAAAAAUGGGUCUCUUCCUCAAGAAUGGAUGCAACUGUUCUGUCUUGCAAUAGUUUCCUUCUCCUCUCAGCCCUGUCCUUCUCAGUGUAGCUUCAAUUUCUAAGUCCAAAGGAACUAAAGUGCCUGUGGGAGAUCUAUGCAUAAAUAGUACUAACAGAACAACGGUUAUCCAGUUCAAUAAGAGAAGACAAACAUAAAUUAAAGAACAAAUAUACACAGAAACAAUCAAAGAAUAAAAAAUAAAGAAUAGACACCUAAGAACGAGCUAACUUCCCAAAUUAAAAGAAGCUCCCCAGCAACGGCACAAAAAACUUGUUCGCGGCUGGCAAGUGUAUUGGAUUGCACAAGUAGUAUAAAAUGAUAAGAACUGAGUAUCGAACUCUCGGGGAACUUGUGUUAUCUGGCAAACUAUUUCAGUAAAUAGGUGUCUGGUAUGAAAAGAUGAUUAUGGUUAUGAACAGGUAUAUAAACUAUCUAUGCAAAAAGAAAGAAAAUCACGCAAGAGAAAUGUUGCGUAAAACCAAGUAGAGAACACGUUGGUCUUCCUAAUAGGUUCCUGAUGCUAAAAUAGAUAUUCUCUAUCUAACAAUGCUCAUGUAUUCCUAUGUUGUCUCCUAGAAUGCUAGACCCUGACUCCUCAUGAUAGCCUAGCCUAAUCCUGAUCAAGCCUCGUCCACAGAUUCCUCUUGUAAGACUAAACUUAACCAGGACCGCAUUAAGACCCACAUACACAACUAAGUUCUUGUACCCCGAUUCCUCGUGAUAGUACAACAACUUAACCCCGUACUAUCAAGGACUUUAGAAUCAUACCAUUUUCCGCUGUUGAAUGACCCUAACAAAGCAUGCAUCUACGUGAUCAAGGUAAAGGCAUACUGGAAUGAAAAGCAAAUAGCACA
rnacentral:lncRNA from 1 species